rnacentral:rRNA from 1 species
AUUGAACGCUGGCGGCAUGCCUUACACAUGCAAGUCGAACGGCAGCACGGGAGCAAUCCUGGUGGCGAGUGGCGAACGGGUGAGUAAUAUAUCGGAACGUGCCCAGUCGUGGGGAUAACGUAGCGAAAGCUACGCUAAUACCGCAUACGAUCUAUGGAUGAAAGCGGGGGAUCGCAAGACCUCGCGCGAUUGGAGCGGCCGAUAUCAGAUUAGGUAGUUGGUGAGGUAAAGGCUCACCAAGCCGACGAUCUGUAGCUGGUCUGAGAGGAUGAUCAGCCACACUGGGACUGAGACACGGCCCAGACUCCUACGGGAGGCAGCAGUGGGGAAUCUUGCGCAAUGGGCGAAAGCCUGACGCAGCAACGCCGCGUGCGGGAU